CCUGACUGCUAUCGGAUUGAUACUAASCCAUGCGAGUCGUUGUAGCAAUACAAGGCAGACGGCUCAGUAACACGUAGUCAACCUACCCUAUGGUCGGGGAUAAUCUCGGGAAACUGAGCAUAAUACCCGAUAGGUCAUAAUGCCUGGAAUGGUUUAUGGCCCAAAUGAUUUAUCGCCAUAGGAUGGGACUGCGGUCUAUCAGCUUGUUGGUGAGGUAAUGGCCCACCAAGGCAAUAACAGAUACGGGCUCUGAGAGGAGAAGCCCGGAGAUGGGUACUGAGACACGGACCCAGGCCCUAUGGGGCGCAGCAGGCGAGAAAACUUUGCAAUGUGCGAAAGCACGACAAGGUCAAUCCGAGUGUUUCCUGCUAAAGGAAUCUUUUGUCGAUCCUAAAAACACCGAUGAAUAAGGGGUGGGCAAGUUCUGGUGUCAGCCGCCGCGGUAAAACCAGCACCUCAAGUGGUCAGGAGGAUUAUUGGGCCUAAAGCAUCCGUAGCCGGCUGUGUUAGUCUCCGGUUAAAUCCAUAUGCUUAACAUAUGGGCUGCCGGAGAUACUGCACAGCUAGGGAGUGGGAGAGGUAGACGGUACUUGGUAGGAAGGGGUAAAAUCCUUUAAUCUACUGAUGACCACCUGUGGCGAAGGCGGUCUACUAGAACACGUCCGACGGUGAGGGAUGAAAGCUGGGGGAGCAAACCGGAUUAGAUACCCGGGUAGUCCCAGCUGUAAACAAUGCAAACUCAGUGAUGCGCUGGCUUGUGGCCAGCGCAGUGCCGCAGGGAAGCCGUUAAGUUUGCCGCCUGGGAAGUACGUACGCAAGUAUGAAACUUAAGGAACUUGGCGGGGGGAGCACCACAAGGGGUGAGCCUGCGAUC
rnacentral:rRNA from 1 species